GUUAAGCGACUAAGCGUACACGGUGGAUGCCCUGGCAGUCAGAGGCGAUGAAGGACGUGCUAAUCUGCGAUAAGCGUCGGUAAGGUGAUAUGAACCGUUAUAACCGGCGAUUUCCGAAUGGGGAAACCCAGUGUGAUUCGUCACACUAUCAUUAACUGAAUCCAUAGGUUAAUGAGGCGAACCGGGGGAACUGAAACAUCUAAGUACCCCGAGGAAAAGAAAUCAACCGAGAUUCCCCCAGUAGCGGCGAGCGAACGGGGAGCAGCCCAGAGCCUGAAUCAGUGUGUGUGUUAGUGGAAGCGUCUGGAAAGGCGCGCGAUACAGGGUGACAGCCCCGUACACAAAAAUGCACAUGCUGUGAGCUCGAUGAGUAGGGCGGGACACGUGGUAUCCUGUCUGAAUAUGGGGGGACCAUCCUCCAAGGCUAAAUACUCCUGACUGACCGAUAGUGAACCAGUACCGUGAGGGAAAGGCGAAAAGAACCCCGGCGAGGGGAGUGAAAAAGAACCUGAAACCGUGUACGUACAAGCAGUGGGAGCACGCUUAGGCGUGUGACUGCGUACCUUUUGUAUAAUGGGUCAGCGACUUAUAUUCUGUAGCAAGGUUAACCGAAUAGGGGAGCCGAAGGGAAACCGAGUCUUAACUGGGCGUUAAGUUGCAGGGUAUAGACCCGAAACCCGGUGAUCUAGCCAUGGGCAGGUUGAAGGUUGGGUAACACUAACUGGAGGACCGAACCGACUAAUGUUGAAAAAUUAGCGGAUGACUUGUGGCUGGGGGUGAAAGGCCAAUCAAACCGGGAGAUAGCUGGUUCUCCCCGAAAGCUAUUUAGGUAGCGCCUCGUGAAUUCAUCUCCGGGGGUAGAGCACUGUUUCGGCAAGGGGGUCAUCCCGACUUACCAACCCGAUGCAAACUGCGAAUACCGGAGAAUGUUAUCACGGGAGACACACGGCGGGUGCUAACGUCCGUCGUGAAGAGGGAAACAACCCAGACCGCCAGCUAAGGUCCCAAAGUCAUGGUUAAGUGGGAAACGAUGUGGGAAGGCCCAGACAGCCAGGAUGUUGGCUUAGAAGCAGCCAUCAUUUAAAGAAAGCGUAAUAGCUCACUGGUCGAGUCGGCCUGCGCGGAAGAUGUAACGGGGCUAAACCAUGCACCGAAGCUGCGGCAGCGACACUAUGUGUUGUUGGGUAGGGGAGCGUUCUGUAAGCCUGUGAAGGUGUACUGUGAGGUAUGCUGGAGGUAUCAGAAGUGCGAAUGCUGACAUAAGUAACGAUAAAGCGGGUGAAAAGCCCGCUCGCCGGAAGACCAAGGGUUCCUGUCCAACGUUAAUCGGGGCAGGGUGAGUCGACCCCUAAGGCGAGGCCGAAAGGCGUAGUCGAUGGGAAACAGGUUAAUAUUCCUGUACUUGGUGUUACUGCGAAGGGGGGACGGAGAAGGCUAUGUUGGCCGGGCGACGGUUGUCCCGGUUUAAGCGUGUAGGCUGGUUUUCCAGGCAAAUCCGGAAAAUCAAGGCUGAGGCGUGAUGACGAGGCACUACGGUGCUGAAGCAACAAAUGCCCUGCUUCCAGGAAAAGCCUCUAAGCAUCAGGUAACAUCAAAUCGUACCCCAAACCGACACAGGUGGUCAGGUAGAGAAUACCAAGGCGCUUGAGAGAACUCGGGUGAAGGAACUAGGCAAAAUGGUGCCGUAACUUCGGGAGAAGG
rnacentral:rRNA from 1 species